CUAUUUGAGGGCCCCCUGGCUGCACCCUGUAUCAUUCCUGUAAGAGCACUAGUCUCAUCAUGAGAAUGAUACCCUCAUGACCUCAUCUAAACAAAUCACCUCCUGAAGGCCCCACCUCCUGAUACCAUCACAUUGGGUGUUAGGGUUUCAAAUGUGAUUUGGUAGGGUGGUACAUACAUUUAGUCCUAACGGAAUUAUUAUUGGAAUCAUUUGAAAAUAAAUUUUUUUCUUAAAGUUUCAAGACCCAGGUAUGUUAAAAGGAGUUCUAAACACUUUUUACCCAUGGCCUAAAAGAAAAACCUUUCAAUGUAUAACAGUACAGUUGUUGUACUUUUGGAAGCCAAAUGAAUUUCCUGACUUUUAUUGUGGCUUUACAUCUCAAUGGUUCUGCUGGACCUGGGAUUUCAUUCAAAGUCAGGGAAGAGGGCAGCAGUCCCUGUCAACUCUGGACUGCUACAAAUCCUUCACUUAUCAAAAAAAUGUGGCUAAUAAAUCUUAUUCCUGCUCUGACCUUCAGUUACAGCAGCUCCUGGAUAGCAUUAUGCAAGAUGGCUUAAUGGUCUUUGGCUAAGUACUAGAAUUUGAGAAAGAAUAUGUGAAGGUAUUGCAUUGAUUAAGGAGUACUUUUUGAUAUAUGAAUUAAAACCACAAGACUAAAUAAAGCCUUUGGACAGAAUAUAAUACUGAGCUUGGACUGAAAAACACAAAUAGUUGGUAAUUUUUUAAAGUGAAUUUUGUAAAUAACAUCCCUAAAUUUUCAUUCUUAUAUUUUAAUAUAACCUCAGAUAGUGGAUUUCUAUCUGUAGUUAGAUAGCUCUCUUUUGGCCAAUAAUACAGUUUCUCAUUUCAUAGAAAUUUAGAAACCAGAAGCAUUUCAACUUGUAUGCUCUAAACUUAUUGGCUUGAGAACCAAUCUUACAUCCUUCCCUGUCUAAAAAGUACAGAGGCUUCUUAUGGAUUAUACUAAUGGAUGAGCAACAAAUCAUCCAUUAGUAUAGUAUGGGACAUGAGAUAUAUAGAUUUGGUGAACUCUGUGGAACAAGCUUCAGAAAUCCUAACGGGUGGCACACAACUCAAAUGCAUGGCUUGUCAGAGACUGCAACUCCUUUUACGGGCUAAUCUAACAUACCCAUCUUUUGUAUGGCCAGCAUUCAGGUGUUAGGCUGCCUUUGCACAGGAAACAUCCAAUCCUUUAAAAUCAAUGACACCUUGACUAUUUUAAAUGUAGCCUAAACUCAAAAUGCUGCAUUGUAUUUAAGUUGAUUCAUCUUUCUUUCUUCACUGUGACUUAUAAUGGCUUCAGCUAAUGCAGAGUACAAUCUCUCUUUAAGAAAGUUUUUUACAAAAUGCUUUGGCUUGAAGUGGCCCAGUUCUAGGAGGAACUGGCUCUGGGGGCCAGGGACUAAGGCAAUGCAGGAUCUUCUGUUUAUUUGCACAUUUUCUUUUCAAGGAUUUAAGCUCCUUGAAAACAGAAAGCACUUCUUUUCAUCUUUGUGUCCCCAGGGCCUAGCACAAUGCCCAGCUCAUAGGGAGCCCUCUGUAAAUAUUCACUAAUGGACUGAAUGAGAGUGUCCUUUUUAAAUUCCUUGGUAACCGGUCAUGUUUGUGUUGGAUAUGAAGCCAUACUAGAAAAUUAAAUUGUUUUCUUGUUCUUUUCUCUGAAUUUGCCUGUUUUUGUUGGCAGUAUUGACUAUUCUUCAUAACUUCCUUUUCUAUGCAAGCUUAAUUUGGUUUGUUUGCUUUUUUCUCAAAUGAUUAUUGAAUUAAAUAUCAUUAUAUGACUAAUGGUUAGAUAAUGAAACACUGACUUUGUAUUAUCAUCAACACAUUUUAAAAUAGUCACUAAAGUUUAGAUUGGAAUUGAUAACUACUUCCUGAUAAUCUGUAUCUGUGUAGAUACACAAACUGUAGUAUUUUUGAGUAUUUUAAAAGUUCUUAUGAAAACAAAGAUGCUGUUUUCCCCAAAAUGGGGAAAAUAAAUUGUUAGAGAUGUGAUCAUCUCUUCCUGCAUGCAGUUUUAUUAAAAAAAUAAUUAGGUGUUUAAUCACACAUAAAUUUGAUCAACAUACUUUAUGUGUAAUUGUGAUUAAUUAAAAUGGUGCACAUUUUUUCUAUUCAUCAAAUUGUCAUGCAAUACAUUGAAUUUCAACUCAUUUAUAAAAUUUUGUUUAUAAGUGGCUUUAUGUCUCAUUGAAAUUUAAUACUUAUGUUGAAAAACUCAAUUUUUAAAAUAUAUUAAAAACUAGAACCAUUAAGUAGAAAAAAUUUAAAGACCUUCUAUUGUGAGAUUGCAGAGUGAAGAUACUUUUGCAUCUCUAAAAUUAUCCAAACACCAAGGAGACUGAGAAAGAGAAAUGCAAUUUCUAUACUUAAGGACUCUGAAAAACCGUUAACUAUAAACCACUCAGAGAGCCAGGUGACUAACAGAAAACUUCCUGAAAGGAUCUGGCUACUGAGGAUCUCGGACAGAGCCAGCAGAAUGCUGAUAUUCUAAAAGAACAACUGUUCCCAAAGAAGUACAACCUACUCAAGUCAAGGAAAAUUGCUAACUGUGUAGCUAACUGUGGGAGCUUUCUGGGGCUCCAUGUGACAUGACAAAUUAGAGGCCCUUAUUUCUGCAAGCAGUUGGUAAAGAGCGGGGGGACAGACACUCUAUUGUGAGGGUCCCAAUGAUGGUAAUUUGUAUUGAUUUGUACAAGGGAAAGAUUCAAUUUAAGAUUUGCAAAUCUGGCUAAACCUUAGGUUGUGCCAGGGAGCCUUUUAAUACUCACCAAGUCCCAACUGACCAUUCCCAGGACAAGUAAAUCAAAAUUUUAGAGUGAUCCAAAACAGAGAUGACUU